AUUGAACGCUGGCGGCAGGCCUAACACAUGCAAGUCGAGCGAGCGGCGGACGGGUGAGUAAUGUCUGGGGACUGCCCGAUAGAGGGGGAUAACUACUGGAAACGGUGGCUAAUACCGCAUACUAUCGGAUAACCCAUAUGGGAUUAGCUAGUAGGUAAGGUAAUGGCUUACCUAGGCGACGAUCCCUAGCUGGUCUGGGCGGAUGAUCAGCCACACUGGGACGGAGACACGGCCCAGACUCCUACGGAGGCAGCAGUGGGGAAUAUUGCACAAUGGGCGCAAGCCUGAUGCAGUCAUGCCGCGUGUAUGAAGAAGGCCCUAGGGUUGUAAAGUACUUUCAGUCGGGAGGCGUUACCGACAGAAGAAGCACCGACUAACUCCGUGCCAGCAGCCGCGGUAAUUC
rnacentral:rRNA from 1 species